rnacentral:rRNA from 1 species
CUUCGGGGAACGAUAACGGCGUCGAGCGGCGGACGGGUGAGUAAUGCCUAGGAAAUUGCCCUGAUGUGGGGGAUAACCAUUGGAAACGAUGGCUAAUACCGCAUGAUGCCUACGGGCCAAAGAGGGGGACCUUCGGGCCUCUCGCGUCAGGAUAUGCCUAGGUGGGAUUAGCUAGUUGGUGAGGUAAGGGCUCACCAAGGCGACGAUCCCUAGCUGGUCUGAGAGGAUGAUCAGCCACACUGGAACUGAGACACGGUCCAGACUCCUACGGGAGGCAGCAGUGGGGAAUAUUGCACAAUGGGCGCAAGCCUGAUGCAGCCAUGCCGCGUGUGUGAAGAAGGCCUUCGGGUUGUAAAGCACUUUCAGUCGUGAGGAAGGUAGUGUAGUUAAUAGCUGCAUUAUUUGACGUUAGCGACAGAAGAAGCACCGGCUAACUCCGUGCCAGCAGCCGCGGUAAUACGGAGGGUGCGAGCGUUAAUCGGAAUUACUGGGCGUAAAGCGCAUGCAGG